AGAGUUUGAUCCUGGCUCAGAUUGAACGCUGAGGCUUAACACAUGCAAGUCGAGCGGGGAAAGGUAGCUUGCUACCUGACCUAGCGGCGGACGGGUGAGUAAUGCUUAGGAAUCUGCCUAUUAGUGGGGGACAACAUCUCGAAAGGGAUGCUAAUACCGCAUACGUCCUACGGGAGAAAGCAGGGGACCUCGGGCCUUGCGCUAAUAGAUGAGCCUAAGUCGGAUUAGCUAGUUGGUGGGGUAAAGGCCUACCAAGGCGAUGAUCUGUAGCGGGUCUGAGAGGAUGAUCCGCCACACUGGGACUGCCUACCAAGGCGAUGAUCUGUAGCGGGUCUGAGAGGAUGAUCCGCCACACUGGGACUGCCUACCAAGGCGAUGAUCUGUAGCGGGUCUGAGAGGAUGAUCCGCCACACUGGGACUGAACACGGCCCAGACUCCUACGGGAGGCAGCAGUGGGGAAUAUUGGACAAUGGGGGGAACCCUGAUCCAGCCAUGCCGCGUGUGUGAAGAAGGCCUUUUGGUUGUAAAGCACUUUAAGCGAGGAGGAGGCUACCGAGAUUAAUACUCUUGGAUAGUGGACGUUACUCGCAGAAUAAGCACCGGCUAACUCUGUGCCAGCAGCCGCGGUAAUACAGAGGGUGCAAGCGUUAAUCGGAUUUACUGGGCGUAAAGCGCGCGUAGGUGGCCAAUUAAGUCAAAUGUGAAAUCCCCGAGCUUAACUUGGGAAUUGCAUUCGAUACUGGUUGGCUAGAGUAUGGGAGAGGAUGGUAGAAUUCCAGGUGUAGCGGUGAAAUGCGUAGAGAUCUGGAGGAAUACCGAUGGCGAAAGCAGCCAUCUGGCCUAAUACUGACACUGAGGUGCGAAAGGCAUGGGGAGCAAACAGGAUUAGAUACCCUGUAGUCCAUGCCGUAACGAUGUCUACUAGCCGUUGGGGCCUUUGAGGCUUUAGUGGCGCAGCUAACGCGAUAAGUAGACCGCCUGGGGAGUACGGUCGCAAGACUAAAACUCAAAGGAAUUGACGGGGGCCCGCACAGCGUGAGCAUGUGUUUAUCGAUGCACGCGAGACUUA
rnacentral:rRNA from 1 species